rnacentral:rRNA from 1 species
UACGUAGGGUGCGAGCGUUGAUCGGAAUUACUGGGCGUAAAGCGUGCGCAGGCGGUUUUCCAAGACAGAUGUGAAAUCCCCGGGCUCAACCUGGGAAUGGCAUUUGUGACUGGAAGGCUAGAGUGUGUCAGAGGGGGUAGAAUUCACGUGUAGCAGUGAAAUGCGUAGAGAUGUGGAGGAAUACCGAUGGCGAAGGCAGCCCCCCUGGGCUGACACUGACGCUCAGGCACGAAAGCGUGGGGAGCAAACAGG